CCGUGCACAUCGCCGAAUUCUGCCGGUGCCCGGGGCCCCCAGACAUAUCGCUCGGCAGAAGCGGGGGAACCAUGAACGGUCCCUCCCCCGGGACCUAGGGGUUAAGUCGUCAGGGCCCCCGUCCUGACGACCGGGUGUCUCCCACCCGCAUCCGACAGCUCACCUCGCAGGCAAGAGGGAGGACAU
rnacentral:sRNA from 1 species